AGGGCGCACGGUGGAUGCCUUGACACUAGGAGUCGAUGAAGGACGGGACUAACGCCGAUAUGCUUCGGGGAGCUGUAAGUAAGCUUUGAUCCGAAGAUUUCCGAAUGGGGAAACCCACCAUACGUAAUGGUAUGGUAUCCUUAUCUGAAUACAUAGGGUAAGGAAGACAGACCCAGGGAACUGAAACAUCUAAGUACCUGGAGGAAGAGAAAGCAAAUGCGAUUUCCUGAGUAGCGGCGAGCGAAACGGAACAUAGCCCAAACCAAGAGGCUUGCCUCUUGGGGUUGUAGGACAUUCUAUACGGAGUUACAAAGGAACGAGGUAGACGAAGCGACCUGGAAAGGUCCGUCGUAGAGGGUAACAACCCCGUAGUCGAAACUUCGUUCUCUCUUGAAUGUAUCCUGAGUACGGCGGAACACGUGAAAUUCCGUCGGAAUCUGGGAGGACCAUCUCCCAAGGCUAAAUACUCCCUAGUGAUCGAUAGUGAACCAGUACCGUGAGGGAAAGGUGAAAAGCACCCCGGAAGGGGAGUGAAAGAGAUCCUGAAACCGUGUGCCUACAAAUAGUCAGAGCCCGUUAACGGGUGAUGGCGUGCCUUUUGUAGAAUGAACCGGCGAGUUACGAUCCCGUGCGAGGUUAAGCUGAAGAGGCGGAGCCGCAGCGAAAGCGAGUCUGAAUAGGGCGUUUAGUACGUGGUCGUAGACCCGAAACCAGGUGAUCUACCCAUGUCCAGGGUGAAGUUCAGGUAACACUGAAUGGAGGCCCGAACCCACGCACGUUGAAAAGUGCGGGGAUGAGGUGUGGGUAGCGGAGAAAUUCCAAUCGAACCUGGAGAUAGCUGGUUCUCCCCGAAAUAGCUUUAGGGCUAGCCUUAAGUGUAAGAGUCUUGGAGGUAGAGCACUGAUUGGACUAGGGGUCCUCAUCGGAUUACCGAAUUCAGUCAAACUCCGAAUGCCAAUGACUUAUCCUUAGGAGUCAGACUGCGAGUGAUAAGAUCCGUAGUCAAAAGGGAAACAGCCCAGACCGCCAGCUAAGGUCCCAAAGUGUGUAUUAAGUGGAAAAGGAUGUGGAGUUGCUUAGACAACUAGGAUGUUGGCUUAGAAGCAGCCACCAUUUAAAGAGUGCGUAAUAGCUCACUAGUCGAGUGACUCUGCGCCGAAAAUGUACCGGGGCUAAAUACACCACCGAAGCUGCGGAUUGAUACCAAUGGUAUCAGUGGUAGGGGAGCGUUCUAAGGACAGUGAAGUCAGACCGUAAGGACUGGUGGAGUGCUUAGAAGUGAGAAUGCCGGUAUGAGUAGCGAAAGACGGGUGAGAAUCCCGUCCACCGAAUGCCUAAGGUUUCCUGAGGAAGGCUCGUCCGCUCAGGGUUAGUCAGGACCUAAGCCGAGGCCGACAGGCGUAGGCGAUGGACAACAGGUUGAUAUUCCUGUACCACCUCUUUAUCGUUUGAGCAAUGGAGGGACGCAGAAGGAUAGAAGAAGCGUGCGAUUGGUUGUGCACGUCCAAGCAGUUAGGCUGAUAAGUAGGCAAAUCCGCUUAUCGUAAAGGCUGAGCUGUGAUGGGGAAGCUCCUUAUGGAGCGAAGUCUUUGAUUCCCCGCUGCCAAGAAAAGCUUCUAGCGAGAUAAAAGGUGCCUGUACCGCAAACCGACACAGGUAGGCGAGGAGAGAAUCCUAAGGUGUGCGAGAGAACUCUGGUUAAGGAACUCGGCAAAAUGACCCCGUAACUUCGGGAGAAGGGGUGCUUUCUUAACGGAAAGCCGCAGUGAAUAGGCCCAAGCGACUGUUUAGCAAAAACACAGCUCUCUGCGAAGCCGUAAGGCGAAGUAUAGGGGGUGACACCUGCCCGGUGCUGGAAGGUUAAGGAGAGGGGUUAGCGUAAGCGAAGCUCUGAACUGAAGCCCCAGUAAACGGCGGCCGUAACUAUAACGGUCCUAAGGUAGCGAAAUUCCUUGUCGGGUAAGUUCCGACCCGCACGAAAGGUGUAACGAUUUGGGCACUGUCUCAACCAGAGACUCGGUGAAAUUAUAGUACCUGUGAAGAUGCAGGUUACCCGCGACAGGACGGAAAGACCCCGUGGAGCUUUACUGUAGCCUGAUAUUGAAUUUUGGUACAGUUUGUACAGGAUAGGCGGGAGCCAUUGAAACCGGAGCGCUAGCUUCGGUGGAGGCGCUGGUGGGAUACCGCCCUGACUGUAUUGAAAUUCUAACCUACGGGUCUUAUCGACCCGGGAGACAGUGUCAGGUGGGCAGUUUGACUGGGGCGGUCGCCUCCUAAAGUGUAACGGAGGCGCCCAAAGGUUCCCUCAGAAUGGUUGGAAAUCAUUCGUAGAGUGCAAAGGCAUAAGGGAGCUUGACUGCGAGACCUACAAGUCGAGCAGGGACGAAAGUCGGGCUUAGUGAUCCGGUGGUUCCGCAUGGAAGGGCCAUCGCUCAACGGAUAAAAGCUACCCCGGGGAUAACAGGCUUAUCUCCCCCAAGAGUCCACAUCGACGGGGAGGUUUGGCACCUCGAUGUCGGCUCAUCGCAUCCUGGGGCUGUAGUCGGUCCCAAGGGUUGGGCUGUUCGCCCAUUAAAGCGGUACGCGAGCUGGGUUCAGAACGUCGUGAGACAGUUCGGUCCCUAUCCGUCGUGGGCGUAGGAAAUUUGAGAGGAGCUGUCCUUAGUACGAGAGGACCGGGAUGGACGCACCGCUGGUGUACCAGUUGUUCUGCCAAGGGCAUAGCUGGGUAGCUAUGUGCGGAAGGGAUAAGUGCUGAAAGCAUCUAAGCAUGAAGCCCCCCUCAAGAUGAGAUUUCCCAUAGCGUAAGCUAGUAAGAUCCCUGAAAGAUGAUCAGGUUGAUAGGUUCGAGGUGGAAGCAUGGUGACAUGUGGAGCUGACGAAUACUAAUAGAUCGAGGACUUAACC
rnacentral:rRNA from 1 species